CCUACGGGUGGCAGCAGUGAGGAAUAUUGGUCAAUGGACGAGAGUCUGAACCAGCCAAGUAGCGUGAAGGAUGACUGCCCUAUGGUUUGUAAACUUCUUUUAUAUGGGAAUAAAACGUUCCACGUGUGGGAUUUUGUAUGUACCAUAUGAAUACUGAUCGGCCAACUCCGUGCCAGCAGCCGCGGUAAUACGGAGGAUCCGAGCGUUAUCCGGAUUUAUUUGGUUUAACGGGAGCGUAGGUGGAUUUGUAAGUCAGGUGUGAAAGUUUGCGGCUCAACCGUAAAAUUGCAGUUGAAACUGGCAGUCUUGAGUACAGUAGAGGUGGGCGGAAUUCGUGGUGUAGCGGUGAAAUGCUUAGAUAUCAAGAAGAACACCGAUUGCGAAGGCAGCUCACUGGACUGCAACUGACACUGAGGCGCGAAAGUGUGGGGAGCAAACAGGAUUAGAUACCCUUGUAGUC
rnacentral:rRNA from 1 species